rnacentral:lncRNA from 1 species
UAUUUAAAAUAGUAAAACUUGCACCAAAAAGGGGUGACUAACUCUGGCGAACUGCACCGAAGUGGUGGCUAACUCUAUGCUCCAGUGGUACUAUUUUAGUACCAGAGAGCCUCGGGUGGACUGAUGAGUCCGGCGAGUAUUUGGAGGCCUGUGCAAGGCCGACUCCGACUGAAUAUCAAAUGAUAUUCUAAACUUGUCAUUAAUCAGGCUAACUUUAACAGAAAAGGUACUGAAGAAAAGUUGAAUAAAAAAUAUUCUUACAAAACAUUAUAAAAACAUCAAAAGUUAAAUACUAAAACAGUUAAAUUAACAUUUUUUACUUUUAUCCUACUAUAUUUAAAUCAAAUUUAACUUAAAAUAAACAUUUAAAUACUAAAUAAUUAAUCUGUCCAAAUUAAGGGGAAUUAACC